UUGUUUUGUUUUGUUUUCACCUCAAAACUGCCUCAUGGGGCUGGAAGGUGCCAUACACACCCUUCUGUGAAGUCAUGGGUGGCUGCCCCACCUCACUCAGGAUUCCGGCCUUCUACCUCAUAAGCAGAAAAGGCUGCAGACCAUCAGCCUCCAACACCUCCGACAUCUUCCAACAUCUCAUGGACAUAACACCUUACGCACCUGCUUUUGCAGGGAAAAUGUCUUUCUUUUAAGACCACCAGGAACAAAGAUCUAUCAAAAGAUGACAUGCUGAAGGUCAGAUCUGUAGUUCCUGCAUCCACAAGAAUAACCACACUUGCAGCUGUUUACACCGUAUUUGCUGGCCUGCUUGAGCCAAACCCUCACUCCGGAAAUGUUAGCCCGCCUCGGUUUUAAGAGUGAUAAAGAAAGGAUCAUUAAGGCCUGCGAGAAUCUGUAUGACUUAGUAUACAUCUAUGUCUCUUCAACCAAUGCAAUAUUCAAAAUCCUCAAUCAAUAUCUUGGCACUGAGUUCCCCAUCUUGGCAGUAAAAGAAAACUUUAGCAUUAAAGAGAAUAUGCAGCUCCUGAUCAAUGCUUUGAAAGAGAUGCAAACCACCAUGGGAUAUGACACAGAGGAAGAAGGAAGCAUAAGUCGAAGUUUGUAUGCUAGAAUUGCUGGUCCCAUCAACACUUUGCAGGACAACGUGGCUACAGUAAAAGGUCUUUAUGAUAAUUAUAAGGGGGUUGUAGGAAGCCUGGUGGGUGCACUUGUUGGAGUGAUGUUAAAAAAAGAUAAUUUCCCCGACACAGUAGAGGCUGCUGUUCAUCAGUUACUGAGUUCACCUGCUUUAUCCCUCCAUGUAUCAGAACUUCUCUUGGACUAUGCUGAUAUCGCUAAAAUGCUGCAACAAAAUGAUCCACCAAGCACCACAGCAAGCGGCUCCUCCUCGGGUGAAACAUCACAACAGCUCAGACUUCGUUCUCUACCCUCCUCCUCUUUACUUUUCAUACGGACCCUCCUUCAAGGACACAGAUCCAUAAAGAAAAGCCU